rnacentral:rRNA from 1 species
GUUUGUUUGAAGGUAUAAAGAAUUUAACCUGCCCCCUGAUGUUAAAGGGCCGCGGUAUUAUAACCGUGCAAAGGUAGCAUAAUCAUUAGGUUUUUAAUUGGAAUCUUGUAUGAAUGGUUGGACAAAAGAAUAACUCUCUUUAUAUUAAACUUUAAAUUUAACUUUUAAGUGAAAAGGCUUAAAUAUGCUAAAGGGACGAUAAGACCCUAUAAAACUUUUACAUUGAUAUUAUAUUUUAGUAAAUUUUAAAAAUUAAAUUUGAUUAUUUGUUGUGUUGGGGAGAUAUAGGCAAAUAACUGCUUAAUAAUUAAACAAUUAUAGGUGAGUAAAAGAUCCUUUUUAGAGAUUAAUAAUUUAAGUUACUUUAGGGAUAACAGCGUUAUUUUUUUUGAGAGUUCUUAUCGAAAAAGAAGAUUGCGACCUCGAUGUUGAAUUAAAAUAUCUAUAUAAUGAAGGGAUUAUAUAAGAGGGUCUGUUCGACCUUUAAAAUUUU